UCCUAGCCCUGAUAGUAGCGGUUACCCCACAGCAGGUGAUGGCUAAAAGCGGCUGGGCGAGGAGUAUGAGCGGAUAGCAGGAUCAAGC
rnacentral:sRNA from 1 species